GUCCCGGUCCAGUUCCAGGAAUCCUGGACAUCACAGCGCUUCAGGGGCCCUGGCGAACAAGCCCACCCUCACCCCUCCCUUGUCUUUUCCACCCCAGGAGGAAGAGACUGAGCUGGAGGUCACGCAACUGCUCCUUCUGCCCAGGGAGGCAUUCCCCGAUGGACCUGCUGGUGCGCCCGACUCCGCCGGGUGUCCCGGGGCCUCUGGUACCCCUAGGCCAUGUUGAGCCACCUGACAAUCCCCAAGUUGUUUCUUGGCGUCGCCCAUACCCCGGAGCUGCUGUCGGCCGCGCGGAGGGACGUGGUGUCCUGCCUCCAGCUGGUGCGGCCAGUUUCUUCGAGGAAGUCCCUCUGACCACCCGGGAGGCGUCCCCAAACACUAAGAGCUGUGAAUGGAGCCGGCGGUGAACCUGGUGGACGUCAGGGGUGGGGGCGGGGCCCCUGUGAGAAGUGGCUCUGUCCUGAGGGACGGAUAGAUUGAGAAUGGAUGGAGGAGAGUUCUUCAAGAGAAACUUCCUGCCUCAGCCUGGCUCCGCCUCCUUACCGGGUUCGAGGACUCGCCUUGAUGGCGAGAAGCCAGCAUCAUCUUCAACGCCCUUGGCCUGUUCACGUGGGACCUGCGGCUAGUGGCGCGCUUGGGGCUUUGUCUCUGACCCCACGACGCUUCCAGGGGACCCUUGGCUUUGCAGGCGAAGGCUGCCGGCUCGUCUGUGUUGCCCUUUCCUCAAGGCCUAGGCCGAUGCCAGUCUCCAGCCAGGGGGCGCUGAAGCUCAGAGGACUCCAGCACUGCUGGCCUGAACUGACCUCGAUGUCCUGUGUUUUGUGCAUGAGGAGGCGCAGAUAUUUUUCCAAGGACCAGGACGUGUCCGCCGGAUGUAAGGAAAUUUCAAUGGGAUGCAUUCCCUUAAGAUAUUCCAGUGGCCUCGUCUUGCACCAACCGACUUGGGUCCUGGGCCCAUACCAUGGAUCACUGACUCCAUGUACCAUGAACGAGUUUCUACUUCUCUGGUUACCAGAACUGAUAAACUUUCUUUUAAGGUUUCUAUUUAUUUAUUUUUAGAGAGAGGGGAAGGGACGGAGAAAGAGAGGGAGAGAAACAUCAAUGCAUGGUUGUCUCUCACAUGCCCCAUACUGAGAACCUGGCCCACAACCUAGGCAUGUGAACUGACUGGGAAUCAAACCGGCGACCCUUUGGUUCUCAGCUCGGUGCUCAAUCCACUGAGCUACACCAGCCAAGGCUGAUUUACACUUUCAUUGUCCAGUUUGAGAUUUUAUGAAUCUGUGACUCUUGGAUCUCCCCACUGGGGAGGCCUCAUCCCCUAAGGGAUUUGGCAGUGCAAGGGCCCAAAGUCCUCAGCUGACUGUAGUAAUUCAGAUUCUGUUACUCACGUGACUUUUGUAUUUGUGAUAUCCCUAUGUAAUUUGCUAUUCUGUCUUAUGGUGGUAAUUUAUUGUCAUUA